rnacentral:rRNA from 1 species
CUACAGAGGGUGCGAGCGUUAAUCGGAAUUACUGGGCGUAAAGCGCGCGUAGGCGGCUUAUUAAGUCAGAUGUGAAAUCCCCGGGCUCGACCUGGGAACUGCAUCUGAUACUGGUAAGCUAGAGUUUUGGAGAGGGAAGUAGAAUUUUAGGUGUAGCGGUGAAAUGCAUAGAGAUCUGAAGGAAUACCAGUGGCGAAGGCGACUUCCUGGCCAAAAACUGACGCUGAGGUGCGAAAGCGUGGGUAGCAAACGGGAUUAGAAACCCUAGUAGUCC